CAGAUGACCUUAACAUAGGCACUGACUUGAAUAUCUUUGCAGUAAGUGCUACAUGUUGGGGUAGUCUUG
rfam:Oryzias latipes DNA, chromosome4, strain: Hd-rR.